rnacentral:rRNA from 1 species
ACGGGGGGUGCAAGCGUUGUUCGGAAUUAUUGGGCGUAAAGAGUGCGUAGGCGGCGGGAUAAGUCAGAUGUGAAAGCCCUGGGCUCAACUCAGGAAGUGCAUUAGAUACUGUUUCGCUUGAGUACUGGAGAGGGAAGAGGAAUUCCUGGUGUAGGGGUAAAAUUCGUAGAUAUCAGGAGGAACACCGUUGGCGAAGGCGACUUACUGGCCAGAUCCUGACGCUGAGUCGCGAGAGCUUGGGGAGCAAACAG